rnacentral:piRNA from 1 species
UAGAGCUUUGUGUCAGGUGCAGGAAU